CCUACGGGGGGCUGCAGUGGGGAAUAUUGGACAAUGGGGGCAACCCUGAUCCAGCCGUGCCGCGUGUGUGAAGAAGGCCCUCGGGUUGUAAAGCACUUUCAGUGAGGAAGAACGCCUGGUGGUUAAUACCCAUCAGGAAAGACAUCACUCACAGAAGAAGCACCGGCUAACUCCGUGCCAGCAGCCGCGGUAAUACGGAGGGUGCGAGCGUUAAUCGGAAUUACUGGGCGUAAAGCGCGCGUAGGUGGCUUGAUAAGCCGGUUGUGAAAGCCCCGGGCUCAACCUGGGAACGGCAUCCGGAACUGGCAAGCUAGAGUGCAGGAGAGGAAGGUAGAAUUCCCGGUGUAGCGGUGAAAUGCGUAGAGAUCGGGAGGAAUACCAGUGGCGAAGGCGGCCUUCUGGACUGACACUGACACUGAGGUGCGAAAGCGUGGGUAGCAAACAGGAUUAGAUACCCCGGUAGUC
rnacentral:rRNA from 1 species